AUUGAACGCUGGCGGCAUGCCUUACACAUGCAAGUCGAACGGCAGCGCGGACUUCGGUCUGGCGGCGAGUGGCGAACGGGUGAGUAAUACAUCGGAACGUACCCUGUUGUGGGGGAUAACUAGUCGAAAGAUUAGCUAAUACCGCAUACGACCUGAGGGUGAAAGUGGGGGAUCGCAAGGCCUCACGCAGCAGGAGCGGCCGAUGUCUGAUUAGCUAGUUGGUGGGGUAAAGGCCCACCAAGGCGACGAUCAGUAGCUGGUCUGAGAGGACGAUCAGCCACACUGGGACUGAGACACGGCCCAGACUCCUACGGGAGGCAGCAGUGGGGAAUUUUGGACAAUGGGGGCAACCCUGAUCCAGCAAUGCCGCGUGGGUGAAGAAGGCCUUCGGGUUGUAAAGCACUUUUGUCCGGAAAGAAAUCGCGCUGGUUAAUACCUGGCGUGGAUGACGGUACCGGAAGAAUAAGCACCGGCUAACUACGU
rnacentral:rRNA from 1 species